rnacentral:lncRNA from 1 species
AGAUGUCAAUAGUCAUCAUAUGGUCCUAGGUGAAUUGUUGUGGUCCUACUGAGUAUUGUAUUGAAGCUACUAUGAGCUACUCUUAAAAAGUCAAUUGAAAGGUGAAAAGAUAUUACAAUAGUAGAGUCUAGUGGUGUCGUAAUACAUGAAGUCUUGCUUGAGAAUGCUCUGGAUACCUAGCUAUAGAAGGUAGAAUAGAAAUUGCAACAAUAAAAUCUUAACUCUAAUAGAAUACUAACUAAACUCUAAUUAGACUAUAAGAAUGCUAAGCAAGCUUUAAUCAAUCUCAAAGAAAUCUCAAAAGAAUUACAAAGAAAUAAUAAGAAAUCUUAAAGAAAUAUUAGACUGAUUACAAAUAUAUCUCAAAUACAUCUCAAUUCAAUCUUAAUUUAAUCCUAGUUAAAAUCCUAUUGGACUUCAUUCAAACUUUGGGCCAAAAACUAACUAAAUCUUAAAUCCUAAACAAACCCUAAUAAAAUCCUAAAUCCAAAACCAAAUCCAAAUCAAAUUCUAAAUCAAAUCCUAAUCAAAUCCUAAAUCCUAAAUCAAAUCCUAAUCAAAUCCUAAAUUAAAUCCUAAUUAAAUUCUAAAUCCUAAAUCAAAAUCUAACUAAACCUUGAACCCUAAAUCAAAUCCUAAAUCCUAAACCAAAUCCUAACUAAAUCUUAACCAAAUCCUAAAUCCUAAACCAAACAGUAAUCCUAAAUCAAAUCCUAACCAAAUCCUAACCCUAAAUCAAAUCCUAAUCAAAUCCUAAUCCUAAAUCAAAUCUUAACCAAACUCUAAACCAAAUCCUAAAUACUAAACAAAAUUCUAACCAAACCCUAAUCCUAAAUUAAACCCCAACCAAAUCUUAAUCCUAAAUCAAAUCCCAACGAAACCUUAAAUCCUAAAUAUAAUCCUAACCAAAUCUUAAAUCAUAAAUGAAAUCCUAACCAAAUCCUAAUCAAACCCUAACCUUAAAUAAAAUCUUAACCAAAUCCUAAUUCUAAAUCAAAUCCUAACCAAACUCCAACCCUAAAUCAAAUCCUAACCAAA